CUUCAAGUUACUGGAACCAACACCAACCUUCUGAAGAGUAAUUAAUGUAAAUUGAUAUACAUGAACCAACAAUUGCUGAAAAUUAAUACCAGAUUAAUGCAAGUGCAUAGUCAGAACUAUACCAAGGAGAAGAACAAGCUGAAAUGGUUAAUAGAAAGAAGGUAGAUAAGGAAACAGAUGAAAGCAGAAUCUUGUGAAUGAAGAUACUGGUAUGAUGAUUUUAAGACUAGAGUAGAAUUUCUUUUUCCCCUUUAGUGUGAACUACACAAAACCCUUCACCUUUUGAGGAUUCUGCUUGGUGCAGCUUUAAGGUUAUUUUGGUCACAACAGAUGACUGCAGACCAUAAAUGUUUUGUCUUGUCCAACUUGCCCUGUAGCCACUGUGCCUGAGCCAGAGUAGAGAGCAGCUAUCCAUGGAAGAUAUGAGAAACAGUGUGUGUUUCUCUGGCUGCAGGCUAUAAUUAGUUCUUAGUAGGUAAUCAACAAAACUGCAUGCUUAUUCUCCUUCCACCCCAUGAGAUUUUCUUCUCUACAUGAAAUAUUCACGCAAAAUUUCAAGAUUAUAUCAUUUGUGAGUCGUUUUUCCUGAUACUUCUAUUUGGAGUGGUUAGAGCUGGGAAUUGAAGCAAUUACAGAAUUCUGACAGAUGCAUCUGUUCAAGGUUCAGAUGCUAUCAGAACAUUUCUGUAUUUCCAGCCAAGACGUUGACAAUGGGUGGCUCCCUGCUCCUUCUUCAUUUACCCUCACUCUCCUGGUUGUGGUGAAGAGCUUGGCAUAUUUGCAUUUCUUGAAAUAGGGAAAAAAUAAGCCUGUUACUUCUUGAUAGCUGACAUAAUGCAAUGAAGAUGAAUAUGACUCUACCAGUGGAAUGACUGGGAAAGGGGAGAGACUGCUUCCUCCAUGAACAAGUAGCUGAGCUGAGCUUGUAAAGAGAAUUCCCAAAAGUACAGUGACUAUAAGAAGAUGAAAAAAAGGCAAGUCUGAAGUGUCUGAAGGAAAUGCAUGAUGAGUAUGAUGGUGCAUCCCAGUUUCUCUCUCACAAUCUCAGUAUCAUCUGAGAAACAUUCCUUAGGCCUUGACCUUGGUGGAGCAGCAUCUGGGCUGAGCUUGUCAGAAACACUGUCUGCUCCCAGGAACUAGAGCUUUCUAAUGAGCUCCUGCUUUUUUAUCAAACAGCAUUGGGAAUUUAUUUUCCUUGCCUGGAAAACAACCCAACGGAAAUAAUAUUUUCAUUAUCAAAUUUUCAAAGAAAGUUACUGACCCAAAUGGCAGUCAGGAUGGAAAAUUACUCUGACUGAAGUCAACUCUCUUGCAACCCUAUAUACAGCAGUCCAAAGUGAGACCCUUGGAGCUCUCCUGGACUGCAGCAGCUGCAAACAGCAAAAUCCCUCUGAGUGGGGCCUCUAAGAGCCAGCAAACUCUGAAGUUUGCUGAACCUGAAGUUUGCUAAACUCAGGACAGCUGAAGGAUGUGGCUGAUAUCCCCACAUGUGAAGGCUCAACCCUUCACCCAUUGAGAAGAUGCAAAGGCAGGCAUGAGUAAUUCACUGAAUUCAAGGGGAAUUUUUCACAGCUAUACCUUGUUCUUCAUGUCUGUGUACAUGCAAGUGUGAAUAUGCUAUAGCAAAUGUACUAGGAAUGUUGCUCUCUUAGAUUCUUAAGUACUUCAGAUUUGUAAGCAAGUGAGGCCUAUAAGUUACUGUUGUGGUAUCAUAAAUUUUAUAUGAAUCCUUUGUCAAGUUGUUUAACUUAAAGUUAUCGAUUAAGUGAUGUUAGGUGCUGUUAAGGGCUGUUAAGGUUAAGUGCUAAAUGCUGUUAAGUGCUCUUAAGAUUAAGUGCUGUUGGGCCCUUAGGCAAUACCUGUUGGUCAAGUUCAGGCUCAGUUGAGCUCUGGAAUAGGAAGGUCUUCCGUAUUCCUUUUUAUCCUUACCCUUCCUCAUCCUUUUCUCACCACCCUCACCCCUCCCUCAGCCUGUACAUAGAUCAUUUUGGGUUUAUUUCAGUUUGGAUUGAUUGAUUUUGUAUUUUUGUUUGCUGUUUCUCUGUGUGCUUUAACCACCUGGUAAAUAAUAGAGUGAAAACUUGCCAACAAACUUUGUCAUUGUUUUGCUUUUAUAUUAGACCUGGUUUUGCCAAUAUUUCUCUUUUGAAGGUGAUUCUUUCAGUAAUUUUAAAACAGUUAUUUGCAACACAGAGGGACAACGAAGAGCCAGGAAAAGGAGGCCUCUUCUGUUUUAUCAUCUACAGCAACCUUUCCAUCUGUUCUCUAUUUCAACAGUCUGAGUUUUGAUGUGAAGAAUCGUAAAAUCAUUAAAUGGUUUGUGUUGUAAGGGACUUUGAAAGAUCACCUAGGUUCAGCAUCUCAUCUUGCACUGGGUCAGCUUGAUCAAAGCCCCAUCCAACCUGACUUUAAACACUUCCAGUGAUGGAGCAUUCACAGCUUCUCUGGAUAACUUGUUCCAGCAUCUCACCAUCACUGUAAAAUAAUUUCUUCUUUAUGUCUAAUUUAAAUUUACCCUUUUUUAGUUUCAAACCCUUGCCUUUUGUCCUGUCACUAAACUCCUAGUAAAAAGCCCAUCUCUGUUUUUCAAAUAAACCCCCUUUAAGUAUGGAAAUGCA
rnacentral:lncRNA from 1 species